UACCCAUGGUGAGGACAAGCAUUAAACAAAUCCUUGAAUCUCUCCUAACAUUGGUAAAAGGUUUCAGUAUUUUUUUAGCAAAAUUCAUGAUUUGUCUUUUUAAUGCA